GGAAGAUUUAAAAGAAACCAAUCAUACUAUACAAUUCAAUUCAAUUCAAUAAAAUUUCCAGCACACACACAAAAAAAAUCUUUAUCAGGAGAGCAAGGAUGUAAGAUGAAUGAGCAGCAUUGCAGCACAUCUCUGUGGUUAUUUUUUAUUCUUUUCCAAUUAAUGAUGAAAGGGAGAUCUACUACUCAGAUUUCAUUCAGCAUACUGCAGUGCAUAGUAUAACUAAAAGUAGACAAUUGUUACAAGGGCAUUACUUCAAGGCUUACACCAAAGGAAUAUACAGGAGAAAAUAAACAAAUACACUAGUAUUUAUAACAUUCUAACUUGUUAAAAUGUAUAAUUAAAGCAUUUCAGUCACUCCAUAUUUCUUUUUUUUUUUUAAACUGAGGUCUCCUAGUAGCUUUUAAUGUCAAUACUCUUUCUGUUGCUUAACAUGUCUGACCUCAAUGCCUUUCAUACCAAAUGACUGUAUGGGUUAAUAUAGUAUCU
rnacentral:misc_RNA from 1 species